GAGUCGACUCCCCAAACCACCCCUCAUGUUUGAGGGGGUUUGGGAGUCGCUCCCACUUGACCGGAAGGAACCCCUUCCGGUCAGUGAGGAAGCUAAACCUCAUCAACUGGAAGGGAUUCCUUCCGGUCGAUGUUGGGGAGUCGACUCCCAAACCCCCUCAUACAUGAGGGGUGGUUUGGGGAGUUGACUC
rnacentral:miRNA from 1 species